rfam:Acyrthosiphon pisum strain LSR1 Contig36174, whole genome shotgun sequence.
AAAACGGUCCUUUUCAGGACCACCAACCACAGCUCAGCAUGACAAA